rnacentral:misc_RNA from 1 species
CUCGGUGUUCCCCGCGCAUCGCGGGG